AAUGAACGCUGGCGGCGCGGUUAAGACAUGCAAGUCGAACGGUUUUUUCAGUGUAGCAAUACAUUGAAAAAGCAGUGGCGAACGGGUGCGUAACACGUGAACAAUCUACCUUCAAAUGGGGAAUAGCUCGGCGAAAGCCGGAUUAAUACCGCAUGUGGUCGGGACUCUCCUGAGUCCCAAACUAAAGUCAGGGACCGCAAGGCCUGACGUUUGAAGAGGAGUUCGCGGCCAAUCAGCUAGUUGGCGAGGUAACGGCUCACCAGGGCUAAGACGGUAGCUGGUCUGAGAGGAUGAUCAGCCACACUGGAACUGGGACACGGUCCAGACACCUACGGGUGGCAGCAGUUUCGAAUCAUUCACAAUGGGCGAAAGCCU
rnacentral:rRNA from 1 species